CUAGAGGGCCGGGCGACUGCGGCCCCCGCGGAGGGCGCCCGUCAAAGUAAUACUUUGACGGGACCCGAGGCGGGGGGCGAGGAAAGUCCGGGCUCCGCGGAACAACGGUGCCGGGUAACACCCGGCGGGCGGGCGGCCUUGUGCCGACCGUUCAGGGACAGUGCCACAGAGAGCAGACGGCGACCGCUUAGGCGACGCCACGGUGAAAGGGUGCGGCAAGAGCGCACCGCGCGCCUGGCAACAGGGGCGGCACGGCAAACCCCACCGGGAGCAAGACCGAAUAGGGGUAGCGAGGGCGCAUUCGUGCGUCCGGGGCGUGUUCCCGCCUGCUACCCGGGUUGGUCGCUUGAGCCUGUCGGUAACGGCAGGCCUAGAGGAAUGGUCGCCCAUCCGCAUCUGCGGUGGACAGAACCCGGCUUACAGGCCCUCUGGCAAU
rnacentral:RNase_P_RNA from 1 species